rnacentral:rRNA from 1 species
AACGAACGCUGGCGGCAUGCCUAACACAUGCAAGUCGAACGAGACCUUCGGGUCUAGUGGCGCACGGGUGCGUAACGCGUGGGAACCUGCCCUUAGGUUCGGAAUAACUCCCCGAAAGGGGUGCUAAUACCGGAUAAUGUCUUCGGACCAAAGAUUUAUCGCCUUUGGAUGGGCCCGCGUUGGAUUAGCUAGUUGGUAGGGUAAAAGCCUACCAAGGCGACGUUCCUUAGCUGGUCUGAGAGGAGGAUCAGCCACACUGGGACUGAGACACGGCCCAGACUCCUACGGGAGGCAGCAGUGGGGAAUAUUGGACAAUGGGCGAAAGCCUGAUCCAGCAAUGCCGCGUGAGUGAUGAAGGCCUUAGGGUUGUAAAGCUCUUUUACCCGGGAUGAUAAUGACAGUACCGGGAGAAUAAGCUCCGGCUAACUACGUG